rnacentral:rRNA from 1 species
UACGUAGGGGGCAAGCGUUGUCCGGAAUUAUUGGGCGUAAAGAGCGCGUAGGCGGUCCGAUAAGUCGGCUGUGAAAGUCCAGGGCUCAACCCUGGAAAGCCGGCCGAUACUGUCGGACUAGAGUCCGGAAGAGGUGGGUGGAAUACCCAGUGUAGAGGUGAAAUUCGUAGAUAUUGGGUGGAACACCGGUGGCGAAGGCGGCUCACUGGUCCGGUUCUGACGCUGAGGCGCGAAAGCGUGGGGAGCAAACAGGG